rnacentral:rRNA from 1 species
GGAGUUUGGGCCGUGUCUCAGUCCCAAUGUGGCCGAUUGCCCUCUCAGGCCGGCUAUUGAUCGUCGACUUGGUGAGCCGUUACCUCACCAACUAUCUAAUCAAACGCGGGUCCAUCGUAUGCCGAUAACUCUUUUCACACUCUCUCAUGCGAGAACGUGCGCUUAUGCGGUAUUAGCAGUCGUUUCCAACUGUUGUCCCCCUGCAUACGGCAGGUUACCCACGCGUUACUCACCCGUCCGCCACUAAGAUUUAACAAGAUUUGACCGAAGUCUCGUCAGCGUUAAAUCUCCGUUCGACUUGCAUGUGUUAAGCACGCCGCCAGCGUUCAUC